rnacentral:rRNA from 1 species
UACGUAGGGUGCAAGCGUUGUUCGGAUUCAUUGGGCGUAGAGGGUGCGUAGGCGGCGGGGCAAGUCUGAUGUGAAAUCCCGGGGCUCAACCCCGGAACUGCAUUGGAUACUGCCUUGCUAGAGUACUGGAGAGGGAACUGGAAUUUACGGUGUAGCAGUGAAAUGCGUAGAGAUCGUAAGGAAGGCCAGUGGCGAAGGCGAGUUCCUGGACAGUUACUGACGCUGAGGCACGAAGGCCAGGGGAGCAAACGGG